GCAAACUCUCAGACGCCCCGGGAGAAAAAGCGCUUCCAUCCUCGUUUCACUUUCAACUUGGUCGCUUCUGGGACUUCACUGGAGGGCCGUGGAGUUGCACCAGCCCGGACUACAGGCAGAUCCGAGCGAGCACUUCCAAGUACUUUAGGACGCGGGGGUGACUCCUUUUUCCUUCAGGAUUGUCCCAUUUGCCACCCUUUCCUGCUGAGUGCCCGGACUGAGGCAGGGAGGAGACUCACUUAAGCCAGCUGUAAGAAGUCAAGAAGUCAAGGUUGGGAACGGAACGAGGUUCAGAUAUCAUCCCGGCAUGUUUUUAAAGAAAAGCUGGGAGGAGGAGGGUGUCUGCUUGAGAAAGACAGAAUCAACCUUUCCUUAACGUGGGCGGUAUUGUUGCUUAACUUUUCAGUCUGCUUGCAGGUUGCAAAUCCUACCAGGCUCAAGCACCCUCUUUCGGUUUACUUUUGCCUUCCUGUGUAUUAUGCAUUAUAUUUGAAAGUGCUUUCCACUACUGUCCCCAUUUCACCCCAACAAUCUCUCCCAAAGCCAGAUACCUUUCAUUCUCCAGGUAGGGUAUUUGUUCUUUUCCCUCCUACACAAGCUGAUUAGAGUGUGCAAAGAGAGAGGAAGAAGCAAGCUUUGUUUUGUGUGAUUGUCACUAGAAAGUGGCAAGACCUUGAGGAAGAGGCCAGGAUAUUCUUCCCCAAAGGAUGCGAGAGCUAACGGAAGAUUCUCUUUAUUUUAUUCCUCCGGGGAGAUCCAAAACUAGAAUGUUUACAAGAACAAUUUCUAGUUUGCUUAAAUAAUUCUUGUUAUUAGCCAACUCUGAAGUUGGUAUACUUCUAAGAAUUCAAGCAAGUUCCUUGUAGAAUAGGGUUCCUUUACACAUUAGCAUUUAAACAGAAGCCUUUUUUUCUGUCAAUAAUUUAACUUGACUUUUUCCUCAAUAGGAAAUCUGCCUCGACUUUCUUAAUGUGUCCCCAGAUUUACUGUGUAUGCCAAAUUACUUUUAAAAUAACAUCAACUUACUCUUUCUCCCAGAUCAUUUUUCUGAGGACCAAUGGUCAUAAGUGUUGGAUUGCCUAUUUCCCCAGAAUAAUCCAGGAUUUGGAAAGCAAAAAAAAAAAAGUAUUUUGCUAAUUUCAGACAGUUAAUGGAAAUGUGAAUGUUUAACAGUUAAAAUGAUAAAUACCAAAAGAUAACAUGGAGUUUUGUUUUGUUAUAUUGUUAUUUGAGUUUCUUCUAGCAUAGUAAAAGCUAUGAUCCACUCUAAAA